UCGAUUUCGAUACAUAAAAAUGAGUGGUCCUGUUGGGUGACGGCUGCUGCUGACAAAUACGAACAAUAAAAAAUAGUCUUAAAAGGUCGUACAUAAAUUAUAACAACAAAGUCCAACCAAACAAGAAACUGCAUGCAGUCUUAGGUCGUACAUAUAUUAUAACAACAAAGUCCAACCAAACAUUAAAACAUAAACAUGCAUGUCAUAAAGUUACUCAUAGAGUAACACAGACUUAUUUUAUGUAAAAUACACACACGUUUAGCCACCAAAGAUUUUUGGUUGAUU
rnacentral:lncRNA from 1 species